rnacentral:rRNA from 1 species
AUUGAACGCUGGCGGCAGGCCUAACACAUGCAAGUCGAGCGGAGUGGCGGACGGGUGAGUAAUGCCUAGGAAUCUGCCUGGUAGUGGGGGAUAACGUCCGGAAACGGGCGCUAAUACCGCAUACUAUUAGAUGAGCCUAGGUCGGAUUAGCGAGUUGGUGGGGUAAAGGCCUACCAGGGCGACGAUCCGUAACUGGUCUGAGAGGAUGAUCAGUCACACUGGAAAGGAGACACGGGCAAGACUCCUACGGGAGGAAGCGGUGGGGAAUAUUGGAAAAGGGGGGAAGGCCUGAUGCAGCCAGGCCGCGUGUGUGAAGAAGGUCUUCGGAUGGUAAGGCACUUUAAGUUGGGAGGCGUUACCAACAGAAUAAGCACCGGCUAACUUCGUGCCAGCCGCCGCGGUAAUAC